GACGAACGCUGGCGGCGUGCUUAACACAUGCAAGUCGAACGGAAAGGCCCUGCUUUUGUGGGGUGCUCGAGUGGCGAACGGGUGAGUAACACGUGAGUAACCUGCCCUUGACUUUGGGAUAACUUCAGGAAACUGGGGCUAAUACCGGAUAGGAGCUCCUGCUGCAUGGUGGGGGUUGGAAAGUUUCGGCGGUUGGGGAUGGACUCGCGGCUUAUCAGCUUGUUGGUGGGGUAGUGGCUUACCAAGGCUUUGACGGGUAGCCGGCCUGAGAGGGUGACCGGCCACAUUGGGACUGAGAUACGGCCCAGACUCCUACGGGAGGCAGCAGUGGGGAAUAUUGCACAAUGGGCGGAAGCCUGAUGCAGCAACGCCGCGUGCGGGAUGACGGCCUUCGGGUUGUAAACCGCUUUCGCCUGUGACGAAGCGUGAGUGACGGUAAUGGGUAAAGAAGCACCGGCUAACUACGUGCCAGCAGCCGCGGUGAUACGUAGGGUGCGAGCGUUGUCCGGAUUUAUUGGGCGUAAAGGGCUCGUAGGUGGUUGAUCGCGUCGGAAGUGUAAUCUUGGGGCUUAACCCUGAGCGUGCUUUCGAUACGGGUUGACUUGAGGAAGGUAGGGGAGAAUGGAAUUCCUGGUGGAGCGGUGGAAUGCGCAGAUAUCAGGAGGAACACCAGUGGCGAAGGCGGUUCUCUGGGCCUUUCCUGACGCUGAGGAGCGAAAGCGUGGGGAGCGAACAGGCUUAGAUACCCUGGUAGUCCACGCUGUAAACGGUGGGUACUAGGUGUGGGGUCCAUUCCACGGGUUCCGUGCCGUAGCUAACGCUUUAAGUACCCCGCCUGGGGAGUACGGCCGCAAGGCUAAAACUCAAAGGAAUUGACGGGGCCCCGCACAAGCGGCGGAGCAUGCGGAUUAAUUCGAUGCAACGCGUAGAACCUUACCUGGGUUUGACAUGGAUCGGGAGUGCUCAGAGAUGGGUGUGCCUCUUUUGGGGUCGGUUCACAGGUGGUGCAUGGCUGUCGUCAGCUCGUGUCGUGAGAUGUUGGGUUAAGUCCCGCAACGAGCGCAACCCUUGUUCACUGUUGCCAGCACGUUAUGGUGGGGACUCAGUGGAGACCGCCGGGGUCAACUCGGAGGAAGGUGGGGAUGACGUCAAGUCAUCAUGCCCCUUAUGUCCAGGGCUUCACGCAUGCUACAAUGGCUGGUACAGAGAGUGGCGAGCCUGUGAGGGUGAGCGAAUCUCGGAAAGCCGGUCUCAGUUCGGAUUGGGGUCUGCAACUCGACCUCAUGAAGUCGGAGUCGCUAGUAAUCGCAGAUCAGCAACGCUGCGGUGAAUACGUUCCCGGGGCUUGUACACACCGCCCGUCAAGUCAUGAAAGUUGGUAACACCCGAAGCCGGUGGCCUAACCGUUGUGGGGGAGCCGUCGAAGGUGGGACUGGUGAUUAGGACU
rnacentral:rRNA from 4 species